ensembl:lncRNA
AUGCAGGGCCAUUCCGGGAGGACACCGAGCCAACUCUGCUCUUGUACAGCUGCUCGCACCCUGGGGACCCUUCCAGUCCAUCCGCACAGCACAACCGCGACUCCACCGGCACCUUUGGGACCCAAGAACAACAGGCACGCCUGCAGCCAAGAUCCCCAGAAGGAAACCGCAAAAGCCGCGCGUCACUCACCUCCAAGGGCACCUGGUCUGCUUGGCGGCACUGAGGUCCGUGAAGGCCGUUGCUUCCGGAAGGGGACGAAGAAGAGAACCGCGCCUGGGAAAUGGCGCGAUAGCCUCGAACCCGCACCCUCGCCUGACCCUGGGGCCACUGGUUCUCCCUCAGGCUCAGGCUUGGCCAGCAGCGUCGAGGACAGCUCCUCUCCUCCUGGCUUUCAUAGGUUCUCGGGCAGGAGAGGAUGCGGCGCUGACUCUCACCUGAGCACCGCGGAGUUGGGGUCAGGCGUGCGGGUGCACUUCCGGGUCACAGCGCCAGGCGCAGGCGCACUCGCCAAUGGCCGUCGCCAUGGUGCCCAGGGACGCAUCUGCACACUGCUGCAUCCAGCGUCCGGAGCCCCAGGGUCGCUUCCAGUCUUCCUCAUCUACAUAAGAAGAAGGAUGUGACUCAGAGCCUGGAGAACUACACCUCCAAGUGUCCUGGGACGAUGGAGCUCAUCACUCUCCCAGAUGGCCUCACCCUGACCCUGUGCCCUUCACCAAGCUCCCCAUUGUCAGGUAAGGUGGGCGGGGCUUCUCCCACCCCACGUGUAGAGAUCUUGAGAAGAACUCCAUGUUUUCCUGGAUGACCGCCAUCCUGGGAUAUGUGGACGCGAGAGAUUGGACCUGUGAUGUCCCACAGUGGCCCCAGGCACUUGCCUGUUCAAUGGCAGAGCCACGUCCAGAUCCAGGUCUGCCUGGGCUGUGACUGAGACUAGUCUGACCUUGUCACUCUCCUACUUACAAGGUUCCAGUCAGCUCCUUUUCCUUGGGCCACGUGGCCCAGCAGCACAGGAAUGGGAGAAACUUCUGGAACAUGCCAGGAGCUUUCCGGCCUCAGUGCCUUUGCACGUGCUCUGCCUAUUGCUGGCAUUCAUUGUCCUCUCCCUGACUUUGUCUGGUGUUAACCCGUUCCUUUAUUCAUUUAUUUUAGAGAGAUUUUUUCUUUCUUUCCUUUUUUAAUUAGACAGGUAGCGUUACAGACAGUGAGAGAGAGAGAAAGAGAGAAAGGUCUUCCUUCUGUUGGUUCACCCCCACAAAUGGCCGCCACGGCCAGUGCUGUGCUGAUCUGAAGCCAGGAGCCAGGUGCUCCUUCCUGGUCUCCCAUGCAGGUGCAGGGGCCCAAGCACUUGGGCCAUCCUCCACUGCCUUCCUGGACCAAAGCAGAGAGCUGGACCAGAAGGGGAGCCACCUGGUCUAGAAACCAGUGCCCAUUUGGGAUGCCGAUGCUGCAGGCGGAGGAUUAGCCAAGUGAGCCAUGGUGCCGGCUGAAAUUUUUCUUUCUAUAAUUAAUUUGAGGGGCAUAGAAAUAGACAGAGAUAGAUAGAUAGAUAGAUAGAUAGAUAGAUAGAUAGAUAGAUAUGGAUUCUGUCUUCUAGUUCACUUUCCAAAUGACUGCAAUGGUCUA